AACAAUGAUUUCCCUAGUAACGGCGAGUGAAGAGGAAUGAGCUCAAAGUUGGAACCUGUUUGGCUUAGCUAAACCGGAUUGUAAACUGUAGAAGUGUUUUCCUGGCACGCCAGAUAAAUAAGUCCUUUGGAACAGGGCAUCAUAGAGGGUGAGAAUCCCGUCUUUGGUCUGAGCUGUUGUCUUUUGUGAUACACUUUCAAAGAGUCAGGUUGUUUGGGAAUGCAGCCUAAAUUGGGUGGUAAAUCUCACCUAAAGCUAAAUAUUUGCGAGAGACCGAUAGCGAACAAGUACCGUGAGGGAAAGAUGAAAAGAACUUUGAAAAGAGAGUUAAACAGUAUGUGAAAUUGUUAAAAGGGAACCGUUUGGAGCCAGACUGGCUUGACUGUAAUCAAUCUAGAUCCUUCUGGAUGCACUUGCAGUCUAUGCCUGCCAACGACAAUUUUUUCUGAAGGAAAAAACUAAGAGGAAUGUGGCCCUUCGGGGUGUUAUAGCCUUUUGGAAAAUACUUUGGAUUGGAUUGAGGAACGCAGCGAAUGCCUUUAGGCGAGAUUGCUGGGCGCUUUUGCUAAUAGAUGCUAGAAUUUCUGCUUCGGGUGGUGCUAGUGUUUAAAGGUAAAACUCGUUUAGUAUAUUUUUCAUUCGCUUAGGUUGUUGGCUUAAUGACUCUAAAUGAC
rnacentral:rRNA from 1 species